rnacentral:lncRNA from 1 species
CCUGUCAUACCAGAAAGGCCAGUCACGUGAUUUAAGAGUUGCGACUUUGAGCCACAGGAUAUCAAUUCACCUCUAGGGAAAGGUGCUGGAGACUGAAAUCAACAAUGUAAACAAGAACUCCAUCAGCCUUGCCAGUCUAAGGAAGCUUCAAUAAAAUCUCUGGAUCCAAAGCUGGAGUGGAUGUGGGCAGUGAAUGCAGGCAGCAAUUCCCAUGCAGACUGAUGUCAAGGGGAUAUCAUGUGCCUUUCAAAUACAGAAGCUUUGGAACGCUCCCCCGAAUUCCACAUUCGGUCCCAUGUGUUUCCUCCUUUGUUUCUAAUUUAUAUCUCUCAUUGUAACAAAACAAUGCAAAGUACAGUGCCUUCUUGAACUCUGUGUCAUUCUAGUAAACUAUCAAACAUCAGGGUAGUCAUGGAAACCCUCAAAUGUGUAGGAAUCUGCUCUGAAUUAACAUUGGCCCUUGUAACUCUAACAUUUGCAACUGAUAUCUAAGUUCAUGGGCAGAUGUGGACCUGUGGAGGCUCAUACUCUUUAUUUCAAGUCUGUCCUAACUUUGGGUAGAAGAUGCCCAAGCAAGAGUACUACAGUAAGUGUGUACACACAUAGGAAUGUUUCCAUUUAUUCAAGACUCACCUUCAGAUCCUGAUGCCAAACUGAAACAAAAUUCUGCCUUUUUUGGCUUCAAGAAGAAGUCUAAUAAAGCUUCCAUCCCAGUGAAAAAUAUCUGUUUGAGAAGAACACUCACUGGAUAUGCAGUCUAGU